GAUGAACGCUGGCGGCGUACCUAAUACAUGCCAGUAGAACGCUGAAGGAAGGAGCUUGCUCUUUCCGGAUGAGUUGCGAACGGGUGAGUAACGCGUAGGUAACCUGCCUGGUAGCGGGGGAUAACUAUUGGAAACGAUAGCUAAUACCGCAUAACAGUAGAUGUUGCAUGAUAUCUACUUAAAAGGUGCAAUUGCACCACUACCAGAUGGACCUGCGUUGUAUUAGCUAGUUGGUGAGGUAACGGCUCACCAAGGCGACGAUACAUAGCCGACCUGAGAGGGUGAGCGGCCACACUGGGACUGAGACACGGCCCAGACUCCUACGGGAGGCAGCAGUAGGGAAUCUUCGGCAAUGGACGGAAGUCUGACCGAGCAACGCCGCGUGAGUGAAGAAGGUUUUCGGAUCGUAAAGCUCUGUUGUAAGAGAAGAACGAGUGUGAGAGUGGAAAGUUCACACUGUGACGGUAUCUUACCAGAAAGGGACGGCUAACUACGUG
rnacentral:rRNA from 1 species